CUAUAGACUUUUCCUCUAUUAUAUAGGAAAUAGUUUCAAUAGAAAAUUUCACUCUCGCUUUCUGUCUCGCCUGUAUACAGUAUCGGAGCAUAUUCUUCUUCUCCAUGGCUUCCGCUUCCAAGCACCAAAACCCAUAUUCUUCUUCAAAACCUCCCAAACCCCCAAACCCCAACACCCACACUGACACCACAAAUUCUCCUAUCAUCACUCUCACUCCUUCCCAAGAACACCUCUUCCUCACACGCGCCACCCACCUGACACGCCAAGAACUCCUCCGCCGCCGCUGCCACUACCUCAAACAGCUCUGCAAAUGCUACAGAGUCCACUUUUGGGCUCUCAUGGACCAACUCAGAUUCCAAUUCAGACAAUACUGCUGGGACUAUGGUCUCAGCCCCUUCUUGAACGAACAACAACAACAACAACACACGGCUGAAUUUGACGGAGAGAGACACACCCAAUUUGCUAAUCUUGAUGGCAAUGAAGUAUACAGCAGCAACAACGAGAGGUGUGCGUUUGUGGGGUGUAAGUUGAAGUCUAUGCCUUUGACCAACUUUUGCCAUCUCCAUAUUCUCUCCGAUUCCAAACAGAAGCUUUACAAGCCUUGCCAUUAUGUUAUCAAGAGUGCUCAGGCGGGACCGAUAACAUGUGGGAAGCCCAUAAUGAGAUCCACUGUACCUUCUCUCUGUAGCAUCCACUUCCAAAAGGCUCAGAAGAACAUCACAAGAGCCUUGAAGAAGGCUGGACUUAAUGUUUCCACAUCAAGUAAGCUUGCUUCCAAUUUCCAUGUCAUUGUGGCAGAAUAUGUACGCCAAAUUCAGGCCAAACGGAGGACUGCAAAAAGGGCAAAUAGAAGUAAGGUAGUGGUUAAGGAAGAAAUUGCUGGCUGAGCCUCAUGUCUAUUUACCCCUGGUGCAUGAGUGAUUCUAAAUGAUGGGAAACCUCCGGAGUUGAACUGCUGGCUUGCAACUGGAACAAAGUUGAAGCGUUCAUGUGUUUUUUUGUCAAAUAAAUGUUCAAAGUUGGGAGGUUUUAGGACAUUUGCGGAUUCAUCAAAGAUGCUGCCUGCUUUGCUGGUCAAUUCUGUUGGAUGUUGAACAUUGGGUAUCAAGCAUUUUAAAACUGUGCUUAAAUUCCUCCAUCUUGCCUUAGAAAAUUAGUUUUGACUUAGUAUUGAUUGCUAUUGAAUGUUUGGUAUGUUGAGUCGUACGAAAUGAUGUAUAUAGCUAUUUAAUUUGUGAAGGAGGUCUUGUGGGAA